rnacentral:rRNA from 1 species
UAGCAUAUCAAUAAGCGCAGGAAAAGAAACCAACAGGGAUUGCCUCAGUAACGGCGAGUGAAGCGGCAACAGCUCAAAUUUGAAAUCUGGCCUCUUGGGGUCCGAGUUGUAAUUUGUAGAGGAUGUUUCGGGUACCGCCUCGGUUUAAAUUUCUUGGAACAGAAUGUCAAAGAGGGUGAGAAUCCCGUCUUGGACCGGCGGUAGGGCCUAUGUGAAACUCCUUCGACGAGUCGAGUUGUUUGGGAAUGCAGCUCAAAAUGGGUGGUAAAUUUCAUCUAAAGCUAAAUAUUGGCCAGAGACCGAUAGCGCACAAGUAGAGUGAUCGAAAGAUGAAAAGCACUUUGAAAAGAGAGUUAAACAGUAUGUGAAAUUGUUGAAAGGGAAGCGCUUGCAACCAGACUUGAGCGCGGCGGUUCCCCCUUGCUUCUGCUUGGGUUACUCCGCCGUGUCCAGGCCAACAUCGGUUCUGGGGGUCGGUCAAAGGCUCUGGGAAUGUAUCUACCCACGGGUAGACUUAUAGACCAGGGUGUCAUGCGACCUCCCGGGACCGAGGAACGCGCUUCGGCUCGGAUGUUGGCGUAAUGGUUGUCAGCGACCCGUCUUGAAACACGGACCAAGGAGUCUAACAUCUAUGCGAGUGUUUGGGUGUCAAACCCGGAACGCGGAAUGAAAGUGAACGGAGGUAGGAAGCUUCGGCUGCACUAUCGACCGAUCCUGAAGUUUACGGAUGGAUUUGAGUAAGAGCAUAGCUGUUGGGACCCGAAAGAUGGUGAACUAUGCCUGAAUAGGGUGAAGCCAGAGGAAACUCUGGUGGAGGCUCGCAGCGGUUCUGACGUGCAAAUCGAUCGUCAAAUUUGGGUAUAGGGGCGAAAGACUAAUCGAACCAUCUGGUAGCUGGUUCCUGCCGAAGU